GUGCCAGCAGCCGCGGUAAUACGUAGGUCCCGAGCGUUGUCCGGAUUUAUUGGGCGUAAAGCGAGCGCAGGCGGUUAGAUAAGUCCGAAGUUAAAGGCUGUGGCUUAACCAUAGUACGCUUUGGAAACUGUUUAACUUGAGUGCAAGAGGGGAGAGUGGAAUUCCAUGUGUAGCGGUGAAAUGCGUAGAUAUAUGGAGGAACACCGGUGGCGAAAGCGGCUCUCUGGCUUGUAACUGACGCUGAGGCUCGAAAGCGUGGGGAGCAAACAGGAUUAGAU
rnacentral:rRNA from 1 species